rnacentral:lncRNA from 1 species
CCAGUGUCCUCCAGGCCUUCUGGGCUUCAGAGCAACACGGGUUCAUCCUGCCCCUUUUUGCCAUUUUCCUAGGAACUUUGUCAGUUGAUUUAAUACUUUUAACGGCAGUUGUCCCACAUGGCUCCUUUGCUUCCUACUUUCUGCUUCAUAGAAGUCUCCCUCCAUCUGAGGGAAGGAGAAAAAGGAUUCCUGACCUGGGUCACGAACAGGUUGCUGCAGAAUGCCGGUGUGAGAUAGAGAUGCAGAGCCCUGGCAUCAGGAGAGGAGGAGGAGCCAGUGUCAGGAGCCGGCACUGCCCAGGACAGAGCCAGGCCGCUGUGGGGCUGAGUUCUGGCGCGUGGUUUGCCAGGGCUGCCCCUGCAAAACACCCAGACGGGGACCGAAACAAGGAGAUCCGUGUCCGCCCAGCGCUAGAGGCUGGAGGCCAAGAUCAAGAUUCAACCGGGCUGGCUUCUCUGUUCCUGUGUCUUCAGGUGGCCUGCCUCUGUGUGGGUCUGUGUCCCAGUCUCCUCUUGUCCCCUCAUCCCCAGGGGUGGGAACCGAACAAGGGGCUUGUGCGUGCCAGGCAGGGGUGCGGCCACGGAGCCAGCCCCACUCGCCUCCUGUAAAAGCACUAGUCACAUUUGAUUAGGGCCUACUCAUGUGAUGUCAUUUAGUCACCUAUCAAAGACUGUCACAGUCACAUUCGGAGGCAUUGGGACAGGACUUUCGCGUACGAAUGGGGAGUGGUGAGGUGGCCCAAGUUAGCCUGGGCACCGCGGAAUCAGCG